rnacentral:rRNA from 1 species
UACGUAGGGCGCAAGCGUUGUCCGGAAUUAUUGGGCGUAAAGAGCUCGUAGGCGGCUUGUCACGUCGGAUGUGAAAGCCCGGGGCUUAACUCCGGGUCUGCAUUCGAUACGGGCUGGCUAGAGUGUGGUAGGGGAGAUCGGAAUUCCUGGUGUAGCGGUGAAAUGCGCAGAUAUCAGGAGGAACACCGGUGGCGAAGGCGGAUCUCUGGGCCAUUACUGACGCUGAGGCGCGAAAGCUAGGGGAGCAAACAGG